AAAAAAACAAAUUCUUGGUUUCCGUGUUGACUGUCUGUUUUAUAUGAAAAUUUUUUAUAAUUCGUAUUUUCAUUGUUGUUAGAUGAUAAAACAUGAUUAAUAUUAUAUGCGUGACUUGUCUUUUUAAUUUUUCAUAAUUUUUUCAAAUAAGACAAACGGUGAAACGUUGGACACGGAAAUCAGGGUUUGUCUUUUU
rfam:Oryza glaberrima chromosome 8 Oglab08_0017_15, whole genome shotgun sequence.